rnacentral:rRNA from 1 species
UACGGGGGGGCAAGCGUUGUUCGGAAUUACUGGCGUAAAGGGCGUCGAUAGGUGGCCAACUAAGUCGAUACGUGAAAUCCCUCGGCUUAACCGGGGAACUGCGUCUGAUACUGGAUGGCUUGAGGUUGGGAGAGGGAUGCGGAAUUCCAGGUGUAGCGGUGAAAUGCGUAGAUAUCUGGAGGAACACCGGUGGCGAAGGCGGCAUCCUGGACCAAUUCUGACACUGAGGAGCGAAAGCCAGGGGAGCGAAACAGGG